GAUAGGUAGAUAGAGAUCUCUCUCCAUGGACUGAGGAAAGAUCUUGUGAGGACGCAGUGACAAGGUGGCCAUUUGCAGGCCAGGAAGAAAGCCGUCACCAGAACCCCGACCAUGCCACCACCCUGAUCUCGGACUUCCAGCCUCCAGAAUUCAAGACUUUCCCCUGACUUCUCUGCCUGGCAAAUGUCCAUCUCUCCUUGAAGACCUAACUCCAUCCAUUUGCCCCCACAGUUACUGGCCCUUUUGGCAGUUCACUCCUUGAAGUUUGACAACCACUGAGUUGGACAAGGAAGGAGAGGAAGAGGAGCAGAGAUUUCCAAGCAACAGGACAGCUUGCGUGAUGGCCUGAGAUGAGCACAUUGAGGCCCCUAGAGGGCAAGCACCCGCUUCAAAUCUCAGGGACAGUCAUGGCCGAGUGUGAGGGGAACUCAGGCUCUCUGAGACCUGGGCCUGGCUGUCCCCUCCCUGGGAGAGAAUUCAAAGUCUGGAGUCUUUCCUGAGAUCCCCCAGGUGGGAGUCUGAGACACAGAGAAGGGACACUAAAGACUGGCUUCCUGUCCUGGGCUCUUGGGUCAAUGACAGAGAGAAGCAAGCCUGGGCCCAUCAAAGCCUCUGGGUGCAAGGUCUGGCGUGGCUGGGCAGGAAAGAGCUGCCUUCAAAAGCUGCCUCCUCCAAAGUGCAGCAGCCUCUGCCUUGGGGAAUCCCAGGGAAGGGAAUCCUCCCACCUCCACCUCACAGACGCAGCUGGAACCUCUGCACAGGCAAAGGGACAAUGUUAAGAUCAUUCCAGUGUCCUGAAGCUCCUGCAGACCUCAGGAUCUGGAUCCUGGCUCCUGUACACCAGGGAGGAAAAGAAGAGCCCUGCCUUCUCGAGAACUCUCACUGACAGAGGCAUAAGCCGAGGGAGGAACAGAAGAAGCCAUUCCCAAGGCCCAGCUUGUGGGCAGAGAGUGACCACCCUGCUACCUACUUUACUCCGAGGCUGCCCUGUCCCUAAUAAUCCUUCCAGACUCUGGGAGUGUCCAUGCCUCCAGGGCUCACAAGAGGUGGGUGGCCAGGAUGGAACCAACCUAGGGACUCCCUCUGUGCUCUCUUUCCAACUUCAAGCCCAAAUCAGAUGGGGACCCAGGCCAGCCCCACUGAAGAAGUGACUGUCGGCUAAAGGGACCACCGGAGGAGAUUGUGUGGGCCAGGUGUACCUGUGCCAAGACUAAGAUGAGUAUAUUUGGGAAGAGCAGAAGGAAACAGCGAGUAUCUUUAACAACAAUCACAAAGUACAAUUUCUAACAAACACCCUACUUCCUUCUUUCUAUGUAUCUAUUCAUUGCUUGCUGGAGACUAGCAGUCAGAAUGAGGCUAGGUCAAGGCAUCCAUCCCCAGGGGGGCCAGUUUUGCUGGGAGAGCGUGGGUGGCCCAGAGCACCCCUGCCCAUGGUGGCCUGGAUGACCCCUCAUAGGGCAGCAUAGUGGUCAAUUGUUCAUCACUGUGACCCUGAGUGUACAUCUUCUAUUGAAUACAAGAUCCUUCCUCCUGUUCUCUGAUCGACCCCCAUUUGGGUCAGUGGAGACUCAGAGAAGUGAAGCGAUUUGCUCAAGGUCACACAGCCCGUGGAUGGAAGCUGGUAGGGCAGUGCCUGCCAGGACCACAAGGUCUAUUGAGGAAUGAGGCUGGGGAGGCCCCUGCUAUGUGUCUGGAGGGGAUCCUGUGUGCCAGCAUCACAGGAAAGGGAGUCCAGAGCCCUUGGGAAAGGGAGUGGGUGCUGAGGCCGUUUCGCUCACCUUUGCGACUCAGAAGGAGUGAGGGUCAGGAUGCCACUCCGUAAUUAACUGGGCCCAGCACCCCCGGGCCUUGUUCCUUGGGGUCUACUUGGAGGCUCUGGGGGCAUCACUUGGGGUCUUGAGCCAGGACCUGUGUCCGGGCAGCAAAGGACUCAGGGAAGAGUGGAGGGCCAAAUGGGAGUUGGUGAAGUCUCUGGGGACAGUGGGCUCGUGGCCAGGGUGGAAGAGACACAGGCUGAGAGGGCCGUCCAGUUCAACCCGCUGGUUUUAGGGUCACAUAGGACAGAGUGGGGUAUAAGAGCAUGAGUUCUGAGUCAAACAGACCUGGACCUGAGUCCUGUGUGACUCUGGACAAAUGGCUUCAUCUCUCUGAGCCUUACCUUCCUCAUCUGUAAAAUGGGAUGAUCAAUGAACCCUCCAGGGUCUAUGGUGAGGAAGAAAGGAGGUGGUGGGUUCAGUUCCUAAGUGCCCACUAAUACCUCCUCCUGUUAUCAAUACUGGCAGUUGCUCUCAUUACUACAGGUAACUCGAGUCACAAUAGCAGUAACAACUCAAGCUCCUUAGUCCUGGAAGAGGCUUCCUUCCACUGGACCAGUGAGUCUCAGCUGGCUGUGAUUUUGCCCCCUGCCAGGGGACUGCUGGCACUGUCUGGCAACAUUUUUGGUUGUCACAAUUUGGGGGUUGCUACUGGCAUCUAGGGGACAGAGGUCAGGGAUGCCACUAAACAUCCCGCUACAACAAAGAAAUAUCGAGCCCAAAAUGCAAUAGUGCGAGAUUGAGAAACUCUGCACUAGACCUGUUCUGUCCCGGUGUCACUGGCUCACGGUGGCCAGUGAGCACCUGAGAUGCACUCAAUCUACGCUGAGAUGUGCUGAAGUGUAAAAUGUGCACUGGAUUACAAAGACUUAGCAUGAAAAAAGGAAGGUAAACCAUUUCCUUAAUAAUUUUUAUAUUGAUUGCAUGUUGAAAUGAUAAUAUUCUAAAAUAUUGGGUUAAACAAAAUAUAUUAUUAAAAUUAUGCCUGUUGUUUUAACUUUAAAAAAGUGUGGACUACUAGAAGAUUUAAAAUGCAAUUGUGGUUUUGUUGUGGUUCAAACUGGACUUUUCUG
rnacentral:lncRNA from 10 species